UCGAGUCUCUGACUUUGGGGAGUUUUACUGUGAAGCUGAGAACACGCUGGGGAGAACGACCUCCAAACGCAUCUCUGUCAACCUAACAUGGAACUCACUAAAAAUCAUCACCAGGUGGACUCUGCUGCUCCUCUUGUUGAGUCCUCUGAUUCCCCUGACUCUGUGGCUGAGGUGGAAGAAAACUGUGAACUCCACCACUGAACCAGACGAACCUGCAGAGAUGAUCGAGGUAAGAGAGAGAGAGAGAGAGAGAGAGAGAG